GUCCACGCCGUAAACGAUGAGUGCUAGCUAUCGGGGCCUUGAGCUUCGGUGGCGUAGUUAACGCGUUAAGCACUCCGCCUGGGGAGUACGGUCGCAAGAUUAAAACUCAAAGGAAUUGACGGGGACCCGCACAAGCGGUGGAGCAUGUGGUUUAAUUCGAUGCUACGCGAAGAACCUUACCACCAUUUGACAUCCUGAUCGCGAGAUAUGUAAUGUAUCUCUUCAGCUCGGCUGGAUCAGUGA
rnacentral:rRNA from 1 species